UACGAAGGGGGCUAGCGUUGCUCGGAAUCACUGGGCGUAAAGCGCACGUAGGCGGCUUUCUAAGUCAGGGGUGAAAUCCUGGAGCCCAACUCCAGAACUGCCUUUGAUACUGGGAAGCUCGAGUCCGGAAGAGGUGAGUGGAACUCCGAGUGUAGAGGUGAAAUUCGUAGAUAUUCGGAAGAACACCAGUGGCGAAGGCGGCUCACUGGUCCGGUACUGACGCUGAGGUGCGAAAGCGUGGGGAGCAAACAGG
rnacentral:rRNA from 1 species